UACAUGGGGGGCAAGCGUUGUUCGGAAUUACUGGGCGUAAAGGGCCCGUAGGCGGCCCACUAAGUCACACGUGAAAUCCCCAGGCUUAACCUGGGAACUGCGUGUGAUACUGGAUGGCUUGAAUUCGGGAGAGGGAUGCAGAAUUCCCGGUGUAGCGGUGAAAUGCGCAGAUAUCGGGAGGAACACCAGUAGCGAAGGCGGCACGCUGGGCCGGUACUGACGCUGAGGAGCGAAAGCGUGGGGAGCAAACAGG
rnacentral:rRNA from 1 species